CCGUGCUCGGCGGAGCUCCCGAGCCUGCGUCUUGCUGCCCCGUCGCAUGUUGCUUACUCGGAACCGUUUGGUCCCGGUGCAGCGGUGGCGGGCAUGUGAUCGCGGGCUCGGUUGUGGCCGUGUCGGCAUAUGAGUGGUUUUGGAUCCGAAUGUCCUGACGGGCUCCCUGCCUAUGUGCAGCCAACCGUCGGCGACGCGGUCCGUUCAUUUUCGUCGCCCGAGGAUCCUUUGAGUCUCGGUGCGUUGCUAAGUUGCCUGUGCGUAAAACCCCAUUUUAUGGGAACGACAUCUCGACCAUGCGCUCGACUCGCCCCAUCCUGCCUACAGGCACAGAGGGGCGGCACUACAUGCGAUCCUCAAGUUUUCCCCGGGAUGCGGGUGGUCACGUUCGGCCGUCCGCACUCGGUGGGUGCUCGAGGCAUCGCAAGGACUUGCGGAAGCAGUGUAUGCGGAGAUCCCGUGGGCCGUGGCCUUCGGCCUCCUCUCGGUUGCGAUUCGGCUAUAAAAAAAAGUCGAUCCCGUUCGAAUGACUCUCGAGCCGCCGUAACCUCUCACCUCCCCUCCUGGGGAAGGCGCGGGGCACGACGACCGAUGUCAUCGAGGGCGUGC
rnacentral:misc_RNA from 1 species